AGCGAACGCUGGCGGCGCGCUUAACACAUGCAAGUCGAACGUGAAAGGGAGCAAUCCUGAGUAAAGUGGCGUACGGGUGAGUAACGCGUAGGUAAUCUACCCAAGAGUCUGGAAUAACCUGCCGGAAGGCGGGCUAAUACUGGAUAGAGCGACGGAAUCCGUAAAUGGGUUUUUCGGGAAAGGGAGGUCGUAAGAUCCCUUGCUUUUGGAUGAGCCUGCGUCCCAUCAGCUAGUUGGUAAGGUAACGGCUUACCAAGGCUAUGACGGGUAGCUGGUCUGAGAGGAUGAUCAGCCACACUGGAACUGAAACACGGUCCAGACUCCUACGGGAGGCAGCAGUGGGGAAUCUUGCGCAAUGGACGAAAGUCUGACGCAGCGACGCCGCGUGAGUGAAGAAGGCCUUCGGGUUGUAAAGCUCUGUCACGAGGGACGAACGUCCAUUAGGUGAAUAGCCUAGUGGAGUGACGGUACCUCGGGAGGAAGCACCGGCUAACUCUGUGCCAGCCGCCGCCGUAAUAC
rnacentral:rRNA from 1 species